UUUGGAGCGAGAAGAUCUCAUGCAGUCAUUCUCCAAAAGGGAGCACUUUCUGUUGUCUGAAAGAAAACAAAGUGCCUCCUUUUAGAGUGUUACUGUUUGAGAAAAACCACCUUGAAGUUG